rnacentral:rRNA from 1 species
GGCCCAGCUUCGCGCUCGGGCCACAUCUGACUGAGGGUCGGUCGAUUGAUGAACGAAGGCGGUUGUCUUGGCUCUUUUACUACUCCGGCUUCACGGCCGGGGGAAAAGAAAAAUUGUCUAUGCCCGCCGACUCUGGGGGCCGCGCGGCUUCAUUGCCCGCGAUCCCUUAAAUCGAAAGCGGGACGAGACGGCUUCACGGCUGUCGAAUCUCCCCUUCGAAAAAUAAACAGUUGUUCGUGUACGUGAGUACGAGACGAGUGCCUCAAACGAUCUAGCUCGCGGUGACCGCGGACUUGAUCCUUACUAGGAGCUGCCGUCCGGCUGUCGUAAAAGACUCGAAAGCUAACGAACUCGUCCUAUACAGUAACCGCCGUGUGUGCAGUGUGUGUGUCGGUUCGGGACGAGAAGGUUAGAUGGCGAGUAAAAAACGAUUGUCGGGCUUGGCUUUGAAAGGGAUUUUUCGUCUUGGUUGCCGUUUGAUUGUUGGCUCUCGCGCUAUACCGUGUGUGAAGCAUAUAAAAGCCUCUCGAACACUCGUACGCCGGGCGUGUCGUUAACUCGACCACCGCGUAUGCGAGUUAUUAGUAGGGCUGUAGCGCGAGUGGCUGUAUCAGUCAGCUGUAUCGGGGAACCUUCACGGGUUCAUCGUUUUACAGUAAGGGCUUUUUCUGAGUGGGCGUCGAAGACUCGCACGCAGUACACUACGAUCGACUCGUUGACUUUAACAAAAAAUCAUAUCUGACCUCAGUUUAGGUGAGACUACCCGCUGAACUUAAGCAUAUCAGUAAGCGGAGGAAAAGAAACUAACAAGGAUUCCCUUAGUAGCGGCGAGCGAACAGGGAAGAGCUCAGCACCGAACCUCGCGCCCGGCAAAGCGGACGCAGAGGAAUGUGGUGUUUGGGAGAACCGUGCGUGUCUGUCCGGUAUAUUCAUCCAAGUCUCCAUGAACGGGGCGAGCAACCCACAGAGGGUGUCAGGCCCGUAGACCAGAUGAGCCGAGACCGUACAUCGGGUUC